rnacentral:tRNA from 1 species
GGGCGGUUAGCUCAGCUGGUAGAGCGUCUGCUUUACACGCAGAAUGUCGGGAGUUCGAGUCUCUCACCGCCCA